CUAACUAAUGAACAGGAAUCUGUGCUUAGCCUGGGUCUAUCCUUUAGUCCUCAGGCUAACUUUAAUCUUUUUUGUACAGUAAAAGACAUUCAACUAUUCGCACGACGCCUGAUCCUCAAAAAAACUGCAUACAAGACACUCUGACCCGAACGCUGAAAAUUUGUUGGGCUCUACGAUAGAACAGGAGGCUAUUUUAAACCUACAAUCACUACUGGAUGAACAGGAUCUCAUGCCACAAUCAGGAAUAGGAACUAGCACAUAUUCUGGACAACGCUGUGGAGGAAAACAUCUUGAAUUUGAAACAGAAACAAGGAUUAACUAUACAAUACCCGACCAUCCCCACAAUAUAUUUACUGCCAAAGAUCCACAAGAAUGCGCUGAUACCUCCUGGAAGACCUAUUGUGUCUGGGUGUAAUUCCUUGACCGAACCAAUAUAUACAGGCGGACGCCAAUGGAUUUAUCCAGACGAAUCUACACCGUAAAUCUACUUCAGCCAAUACCGUGCUACACGCUAGCUCUGCCCACCCCACGCAUCUGAUCAGAAAUAUCCCAGUAGGUCAAUUCCUACGUGCAAGACGCCUGUGCUCCACGGAACAAGAUUUUGAAAUGCAGGCCCGUGAUCUGGAGAAAAGAUUCCGUGAAAGGGGCUACAGCAAUCGGAGCAUCAAAAGGGCGUAUUGGAGAGCGAAAAAAACGGAUCGCGCCUCAUCCCUACAUAGAACACGGAUCCACAAGACUACUGACA